AUCAACACAAGGGACGGUGAUUGGAAUGAAAGUAACGAGAUGUUUGUGAAGAUUAAAGGGCUCAAAUUUUGUAUGUGUGUUCGUUGGUAAGAUAAAUGAGAUCUUGUGGCCUCUUUCUGCAAGUUUGUUGGAAAUAUGGAGAUAUGAGGUCAGAUGGCCCAUGGCGAACCAUGGAUACAUGGCUAUGUGAAGUUUCUUGUCUUCCAUUAUAGCAUCUCUCUUGUGAACUGUGAUUAUAGUUCAGGUUUAAAAUAUAUGUACUGUAUAUGUAAGGAAAAUGAUGUUUGCAAAUAUCAGAACUCUUCACAAUAAUUGCACCAGCCAGCGAGAAAGCACGCACGUGUCAAAACAUUCUCCACGCAAUCUCUUGUUAUCUUUAAUGUAGAUCAAAGAAAAUAAUUGUUGGUUUUAGAUUGAUGAACGGUCUGGAAUUGAUUUCAUUAUUUGUGAAAGUAAUGAGAUGUUUGUGAAGAUUAAAGGGCUCAAAUUUUGUCUGUGUGUUUGUUGGUAAGAUAAAUGAGAUCUUGUGGCCUCUUUCUGCAAGUUUGUUGGAGAUAUGGAGAUAUGAGGUCAGAUGGCCCGUGGCGAACCAUGGAUACAUGGCUGUGUGAAGUUUCUUGUCUUCCAUUAUAGCAUCUCUCUUGUGAACUGUGAUUAUAGUUA
rnacentral:lncRNA from 1 species